AGUGAACGCUGGCGGUAGGCCUAACACAUGCAAGUCGAACGGCAGCACAGGAGAGCUUGCUCUCUGGGUGGCGAGUGGCGGACGGGUGAGGAAUACAUCGGAAUCUACCUUUUCGUGGGGGAUAACGUAGGGAAACUUACGCUAAUACCGCAUACGACCUACGGGUGAAAGUGGGGGACCGCAAGGCCUCACGCGAUUAGAUGAGCCGAUGUCCGAUUAGCUAGUUGGCGGGGUAAUGGCCCACCAAGGCGACGAUCGGUAGCUGGUCUGAGAGGAAGAUCAGCCACACUGGAACUGAGACACGGUCCAGACUCCUACGGGAGGCAGCAGUGGGGAAUAUUGGACAAUGGGCGCAGGCCUGAUCCAGCCAUACCGCGUGGGUGAAGAAGGCCUUCGGGUUGUAAAGCCCUUUUGUUGGGAAAGAAAUCCUGUCGAUUAAUACUCGGUGGGGAUGACGGUACCCAAAGAAUAAGCACCGGCUAACUUCGUGCCAGCCGCCGCCGUAAAAC
rnacentral:rRNA from 1 species